rnacentral:rRNA from 1 species
CGUCCUACGGGGGGCAGCAGUGAGGAAUAUUGGUCAAUGGGCGAGAGCCUGAACCAGCCAAGUCGCGUGAAGGAUGACGGCCCUACGGGUUGUAAACUUCUUUUGUCAGGGAGCAAUUGGGUCCACGCGUGGGCUUAGCGAGAGUACCUGAAGAAAAAGCAUCGGCUAACUCCGUGCCAGCAGCCGCGGUAAUACGGAGGAUGCGAGCGUUAUCCGGAUUUAUUGGGUUUAAAGGGAGCGUAGGUGGAUUGUUAGGUCAGUUGUGAAAGUUUGCGGCUCAACCGUAAAAUUGCAGUUGAAACUGG